rnacentral:rRNA from 1 species
AUUGAACGCUGGCGGGAGGCCUAACACAUGCAAGUCGAGCGAGCGGCGGACGGGUGAGUAAUGUAUGGGGACUGCCCGAUAGAGGGGGAUAACUACUGGAAACGGUAGCUAAUACCGCAUACUAUCGGAUAACCCAUAUGGGAUUAGCUAGUAGGUGAGGUAAUGGCUCACCUAGGCGACGAUCCCUAGCUGGUCUGAGAGGAUGAUCAGCCACACUGGGACUGAGACACGGCCCAGACUCCGACGGAGGCAGCAGUGGGGAAUAUUGGACAAUGGGCGCAAGCCUGAUGCAGCCAUGCCGCGUUUAUGAAGAAGGCCUUAGGGUUGUAAAGUACUUUCAGUCGGGGGGAAUUACCGACCGAAGAAGCACCGGCUAACUCCGUGCCAGCAGCCGCGGUAAUUC